GGUUAAGUUAAUAAGGGCACACGGUGGAUGCCUUGGCGUUAGGAGCCGAAGAAGGACGCAGCGAACUGCGAUAAGCCUCGGGGAGUGGUAAGCACACUUUGAUCCGGGGAUUUCCGAAUGGGGGAACCCACCAUCUGUAAUGGGAUGGUAUCCUUCACUGAAUACAUAGGUGAUGAGAAGGCAGACCCGGUGAACUGAAACAUCUAAGUAGCCGGAGGAAGAGAAAACAAUAGUGAUUCCGUCAGUAGUGGCGAGCGAACGCGGAAGAGCCUAAACCGUAGGAUUUAUCCUACGGGGUUGUGGGGCGUUUCAUAUAGGAGUUACAAAAGACAGAUGUAGGUGAACAGUUUGGGAAGACUGACCAAAGAGCGUGAUAGUCGCGUAACCCAAACAUCUGUCUCUCCGAGACCAACCCCGAGUAGCGCGGGACACGUGAAAUCCCGUGUGAAUCUGGCAGGACCAUCUGCUAAGGCUAAAUACUACCUAACGACCGAUAGUGAACCAGUACCGUGAGGGAAAGGUGAAAAGCACCCCGGGAGGGGAGUGAAAUAGUACCUGAAACCGUGUGCUUACAAAUAGUCGGAGCACUUUCUAUGUGUGACGGCGUGCCUUUUGUAGAAUGAACCGGCGAGUUACGAUAGCGUGCGAGGUUAAGUCGAAGAGACGGAGCCGCAGCGAAAGCGAGUCUGAAUAGGGCGAAAGUACGUUGUCGUAGACCCGAAACCGUGUGAUCUAGCCAUGUCCAGGGUGAAGGUAGGGUAACACCUACUGGAGGCCCGAACCCACGCACGUUGAAAAGUGCGGGGAUGAGGUGUGGCUAGCGGUGAAAUUCCAAUCGAACUCGGAGAUAGCUGGUUCUCCCCGAAAUAGCUUUAGGGCUAGCCUCGGAUUUAGAGUCUUGGAGGUAGAGCACUGAUUGGACUAGGGGCCCUCAUCGGGUUACCGAAUUCAGUCAAACUCCGAAUGCCAAGUACUUAUAUCCGGGAGUCAGACGGUGAGUGCUAAGAUCCAUCGUCAAAAGGGAAACAGCCCAGACCAUCAGCUAAGGCCCCCAAGUGUAUGUUAAGUGGGAAACGAUGUGGAGUUGCCCAGACAACCAGGAUGUUGGCUUAGAAGCAGCCACCAUUUAAAGAGUGCGUAAUAGCUCACUGGUCGAGUGACUCUGCGCGGAAAAUGUAACGGGGCUAAACAUACCGCCGAAGCUAUGGCAGUCCUUAUGGACUGGGUAGGGGAGCGUUCCAAGCAGCAGUGAAGCCGUAUCGUGAGGAGCGGUGGAGCGCUUGGAAGUGAGAAUGCCGGUGUAAGUAGCGAAAAGACAAGUGAGAAUCUUGUCCACCGAAAGCCUAAGGUUUCCUGGGGAAGGCUCGUCCUCCCAGGGUUAGUCGGGACCUAAGCUGAGGCCGAAAGGCGUAGGCGAUGGACAACUGGUUGAUAUUCCAGUACCACCUCUGUUCCGCUUGAGCAAUGGCGUGACGCAGGAGGAUAGGGUGAGCGGCCUAUUGGAUGGCCGUCUAAGCAGU
rnacentral:rRNA from 1 species